UUCUGUCACCAUACCACCCUGAAUAUACCUGAUCUCACCUGGCUUUUGAAGCUAAGCAGGGUUGAGCUCGUUCAUCUUUGGAUGGAGAGAUCAGAAAUAAAUACCAGGGAUCUCCAUGCAGGGCCAGAAG
rnacentral:rRNA from 1 species